rnacentral:rRNA from 1 species
CCUACGGGAGGCAGCAGUGGGGAAUAUUGGUCAAUGGGCGAGAGUCUGAACCAGCCAAGUAGCGUGAAGGAUGACUUCCCUAUGGGUUGUAAACUUCUUUUAUAUGGGAAUAAAAUGUUCCACGUGUGGGAUUUUGUAUGUCCCAUAUGAAUAAGGAUCGGCUAACUCCGUGCCAGCAGCCGCCGUAAUACGGAGGAGCCGAGCGUUAUCCGGAUUUAUUGGGUUUAAAGGGAGCGUAGGUGGCUUGUUAAGUCCGUUGUGAAAGGUUGCGGCUCAACCGUAAAAUUGCAGUUGAAACUGGUAGUCUGGAGUACAGUAGAGGUGGGCGGAAUUCGUGGUGUAGCGGUGAAAUGCGUAGAUAUCACGAAGAACUCCGAUGGCGAAGGCAGCUUACUGGACUGCAACUGACAUUGAGGCUCGAAAGUGUGGGUAGCAAACAGGAUUAGAUACCCUAGUAGUC